rnacentral:rRNA from 1 species
AACGAACGCUGGCGGCAUGCCUAACACAUGCAAGUCGAACGAGACCUUCGGGUCUAGUGGCGCACGGGUGCGUAACGCGUGGGAAUCUGCCCUCGGGUGCGGAAUAACAGGUAGAAAGGACUGCUAAUACCGCAUAAUGACUCCGGUCCAAAGAUUCAUCGCCCAGCGCUGAGCCGCCGUCGGAUUAGCUAGUUGGUAGGUGAAAAUGCUACCAAGGCAACGAUCCGUCGCUGGUCUGAGAGAAUGAUCAGCCACACUGGGACUGGGACACGGCCCAGACUCCUACGGGAGGCAGCAGUGGGGAAUAUUGGACAAUGGGCGAAAGCCUGAUCCAGCAAUGCCGCGGGAGUGAUGAAGGCCUUAGGGUUUUAAAGCUCUUUUACCCGGGAUGAUAAUGACAGUACCGGGAGAAUAAGCCCCGGCUAACUCUGUGCCAGCCGCCGCCGUAA